CAAGCGUGUCGGAAUUACUGGGCGUAAAGAGUACGUAGGCGGUAUGGUAAGUCUGAUAUUAAAGACUGAGGCUUAACCUCAGGACUGUAUCGGAAACUGCCAAACUAGAGGACAAUAGAGGAAGUCGGAAUUCUCAGUGUAGCGGUGAAAUGCGUAGAUAUUGGGAAGAACACCAGUGGCGAAAGCGGACUUCUGGGUUGUUACUGACGCUGAGGUACGAAAGCGUGGGGAGCAAACGGGAUUAGAUACCCCGGUAGUCCACGCUGUAAACGAUGGAUACUAGAUGUAGCCGGUCUCGACCCCGGCUGUGUCGUAGCUAACGCAAUAAGUAUCCCGCCUGGGGAGUAUGGCCGCAAGGUUGAAACUCAAAGGAAUUGACGGGGGCCCGCACAAGCGGUGGAGGAUGUGGUUUAAUUCGACGCAACGCGAAGAACCUUACCAAGGCUUGACAUCUACCGAAUCUGUUAGAAAUAGCGGAGUGCCCGAAAGGGAACGGUAAGACAGGUGGUGCAUGGCUGUCGUCAGCUCGUGUCGUGAGAUGUUGGGUUAAGUCCCGCAACGAGCGCAACCCUCGAUGCUAGUUACCAUCAUUAAGUUGGGGACUCUAGCGUGACUGCCGGUGAUAAGCCGGAGGAAGGUGAGGACGACGUCAAGUCAUCAUGCCCCUUACGUCUUGGGCUACACACGUCCUACAAUGGCAUAGACAAAGGGCUGCAAGCCAGCGAUGGUAAGCGAAUCCCAUAAACUAUGUCUCAGUUCGGAUUGCAGGCUGCAACUCGCCUGCAUGAAGUUGGAAUCGCUAGUAACCGUAGAUCAGCACGCUACGUGAUAC
rnacentral:rRNA from 1 species